rnacentral:rRNA from 1 species
GUUGUAUGGUUAAGUGACUAAGCGUACACGGUGGAUGCCUUGGCAGUCAGAGGCGAUGAAAGACGUAGUAACUUGCGAUAAGCCCAGAUUAGGUAGUAACAACCAUUUGAGUCUGGGAUUUCUGAAUGGGGAAACCCACGUGCAUAAGCACGUAUCCUUACCUGAAUACAUAGGGUAAGGAGGCGAACCGGGGGAACUGAAACAUCUAAGUACCCCGAGGAAAAGAAAUCAACCGAGAUUCCGAAAGUAGCGGCGAGCGAAAUUGGACUAGCCCUUAAGCUUUACACGCGUUAGACGAACGGUCUGGAAAGUCCGACGAUACAGGGUGAUAGUCCCGUAGUUGACGACGUGUGUUCAGUGAAAUCGAGUAGGGCGGGACACGUGAUAUCCUGUCUGAAUAUGGGGGGACCAUCCUCCAAGGCUAAAUACUACUGACUGACCGAUAGUGAACCAGUACCGUGAGGGAAAGGCGAAAAGAACCCCUGUGAGGGGAGUGAAAUAGAACCUGAAACCGUGUACGUACAAGCAGUAGGAGCAGGCUUUGUCCUGUGACUGCGUACCUUUUGUAUAAUGGGUCAGCGACUUAUAUUCAGUGGCAAGGUUAACCAUCUAGGGGAGCCGUAGGGAAACCGAGUCUUAACUGGGCGUUCAGUCUCUGGAUAUAGACCCGAAACCAGGUGAUCUAGCCAUGGGCAGGUUGAAGGUUGAGUAACAUCAACUGGAGGACCGAACCGACUAAUGUUGAAAAAUUAGCGGAUGACUUGUGGCUAGGGGUGAAAGGCCAAUCAAACCUGGAGAUAGCUGGUUCUCCCCGAAAGCUAUUUAGGUAGCGCCUCGGACGAAUACUACUGGGGGUAGAGCACUGUUAAGGCUAGGGGGUCAUCCCGACUUACCAACCCUUUGCAAACUCCGAAUACCAGUAAGUACUAUCCGGGAGACACACGGCGGGUGCUAACGUCCGUCGUGGAGAGGGAAACAACCCAGACCGCCAGCUAAGGUCCCAAAUUACUACUAAGUGGGAAACGAUGUGGGAAGGCUCAGACAGCCAGGAUGUUGGCUUAGAAGCAGCCAUCAUUUAAAGAAAGCGUAAUAGCUCACUGGUCGAGUCGGCCUGCGCGGAAGAUGUAACGGGGCUAAGUAGUAAACCGAAGCUGCGGCAAUGUGCUUUUGCACAUUGGGUAGGGGAGCGUUCUGUAAGCGGUUGAAGGUGUGUGGUAACGCAUGCUGGACGUAUCAGAAGUGCGAAUGCUGACAUGAGUAACGAUAAAGGGGGUGAAAAACCUCCUCGCCGGAAGACCAAGGGUUCCUGUCCAACGUUAAUCGGGGCAGGGUAAGUCGACCCCUAAGGCGAGGCCGAAAGGCGUAGUCGAUGGGAAACGGGUUAAUAUUCCCGUACUUCUUACAAUUGCGAUGGGGGACGGAGAAGGCUAGGUGGGCCUGGCGACGGUUGUCCAGGUUCAAGUGCGUAGGCUUAAGAGUUAGGUAAAUCCGGCUCUUUUUAAGGCUGAGACACGACGUCGAGCACCUACGGGUGUGAAGUCAUUGAUGCCAUGCUUCCAGGAAAAGCCUCUAAGCUUCAGAUUGUAAGGAAUCGUACCCCAAACCGACACAGGUGGUCGGGUAGAGAAUACCAAGGCGCUUGAGAGAACUCGGGUGAAGGAACUAGGCAAAAUGGUACCGUAACUUCGGGAGAAGGUACGCUCUUGACGGUGAAGUCCCUCGCGGAUGGAGCUAUUGAGAGUCGCAGAUACCAGGUGGCUGCAACUGUUUAUUAAAAACACAGCACUGUGCAAAAUCGUAAGAUGACGUAUACGGUGUGACGCCUGCCCGGUGCCGGAAGGUUAAUUGAUGGGGUUAGACUUCGGUCGAAGCUCUUGAUCGAAGCCCCGGUAAACGGCGGCCGUAACUAUAACGGUCCUAAGGUAGCGAAAUUCCUUGUCGGGUAAGUUCCGACCUGCACGAAUGGCGUAAUGAUGGCCACGCUGUCUCCACCCGAGACUCAGUGAAAUUGAAAUCGCUGUGAAGAUGCAGUGUACCCGCGGCUAGACGGAAAGACCCCGUGAACCUUUACUACAGCUUGGCACUGAACAUUGACCCUACAUGUGUAGGAUAGGUGGGAGGCUUUGAAGCACGUACGCCAGUAUGUGUGGAGCCGUCCUUGAAAUACCACCCUUGUAGUGUUGAUGUUCUAACGUCGACCCCUUAUCGGGGUUGCGGACAGUGCCUGGUGGGUAGUUUGACUGGGGCGGUCUCCUCCCAAAGAGUAACGGAGGAGCACGAAGGUGGGCUAAUCACGGUUGGACAUCGUGAGGUUAGUGCAAUGGCAUAAGCCCGCUUGACUGCGAGAAUGACAAUUCGAGCAGGUGCGAAAGCAGGUCAUAGUGAUCCGGUGGUUCUGAAUGGAAGGGCCAUCGCUCAACGGAUAAAAGGUACUCCGGGGAUAACAGGCUGAUACCGCCCAAGAGUUCAUAUCGACGGCGGUGUUUGGCACCUCGAUGUCGGCUCAUCACAUCCUGGGGCUGAAGUCGGUCCCAAGGGUAUGGCUGUUCGCCAUUUAAAGUGGUACGCGAGCUGGGUUUAGAACGUCGUGAGACAGUUCGGUCCCUAUCUGCCGUGGGCGUUGGAAGAUUGAAGGGGGCUGCUCCUAGUACGAGAGGACCGGAGUGGACGAACCUCUGGUGUUCGGGUUGUGUCGCCAGACGCAUUGCCCGGUAGCUAAGUUCGGAAUCGAUAACCGCUGAAAGCAUCUAAGCGGGAAGCGAGCCCUGAGAUGAGUCUUCCCUGAUACUUUAAGUAUCCUAAAGGGUUGUCGGAGACUACGACGUUGAUAGGUCAGGUGUGUAAGUGCUGUGAGGCAUUGAGCUAACUGAUACUAAUUGCCCGUGAGGCUUAACCAUACAACACCCAAGGGGUUU